UACGGAGGGUGCAAGCGUUGCUCGGAAUUAUUGGGCGUAAAGGGUAGGUAGGUGGUCUUAUUUGUCUGAGGUGAAAGCCUUGAGCUUAACUCAAGAAGUGCCUCAGAAACGGUGAGACUAGAGUCCUGGAGAGGGUCGUGGAAUUCCCGGUGUAGCGGUGAAAUGCGUAGAGAUCGGGAGGAACACCAGAGGCGAAGGCGGCGACCUGGACAGGUACUGACACUCAACUACGAAAGCGUGGGGAGCAAACAGG
rnacentral:rRNA from 1 species